UAAUCUAACUCUAAACAAAAACAUUAGGCCCACUUAUAGAGAGGAGAGAGCAACCUGCUACAGUAUCUCUGACUGAGCUCGGUGAGAUUUAGGUAACGAGGUUGCAAGAUCGCUGGUUCAUGGAUCAUUCAUAUCGCAGUACAUAAGGUACAUUGGUUUGCAUAUGUGGUAUACCUGGACACAUACUUACAACGGAAUGAAAUGGAACAUUAUAAAGCAAUGGUUAUAAAAUACGAUUUACGUUCAAAAUAUGGUUGAACGCUACACACCUGAAGAUGAUAAGACGUACGGGUAAACGACCGAGAAACGCUAACAUACAACAUGGCGCAACGAUAAUCCAACAUCAACUGAGCUGAGGAUUUGAUUUCCCUGUGGCAAAAUCUAAAUCGGAUUAAGAUUAUUCAAAUAAGGCGAUAAGAACGCUAUGUGAUAUCCAAGAUAGCGCAAUUCCAUAAUGUACCAAUUAACGUAGAAAAAAUACAUAACUCAGCAGGAUUAGACGGAUAUUUUGUUACACUUUGGGCGAAAAUAGCUUACGCCGUCGAGAUGAACUGAACAUGUUUUUGUAAAUCAGAGGUAGACGUCGAUGGAAUUUACCGGACUUGACUCUUGACCUUAUUUAAUAGAAACUUGGAAUCUGUUGAUAAGUAACACAAGAAAUAGACACCUUCGCGCAAUAAUUAUUAAAGGUGCUGUAAUUAACGGAUCGUGGUUAUCAGGAGUUGGUACAGCUUGUUAUUAAUAGACACUGGCGUUGUCGGCAAGGUGCUUCUAAACAUUUCCUUGUUCGUUAUCAACACGGGACGUUAUGAGGAAUUGCCCUAAUUACGAUUACGUCACUGUCACACCUGGAUCUACAUAAUUUAUCCGAACGUGCUUCAUUCACUAGAGUUUAAUCAACAUUCCGACGGAUGGAAGUUAUUCUUGCAUAUAUAGUAUCAGUAUCAGUGUGAUAAUCUUGAUAUUCAACAGUAACUAGCAGUUGAAUUCUAAGAUGGCAAGUGGAAAGAAAGCCCUGUUGCAGGAUAUUUCCGACCAAUUCCUGCAAUGUAAAAUAUGUUUCGAGGAUUACAAAUCGCCAAAGACUUUAGAAUGCUUACAUACUUUUUGCAGCCAUUGCUUGGAUAAGCACGCUGAUUCGGAGUAUGAACGAUCGUACCGUUAUAUGGUGUACGGACGAUCCGUUACUUGCCCGAUAUGUCGCAAGCGGACGGAACUACCGUCCGGGGGGAUCAGGAGACUUCCGGACAAUUUCCUCGUCACUAACCUCAAUGACGUCAUCAACAGGGUAAAACCGAGCAAAGUACCGCAAUGCGAAAUUUGUAAGAACUUUAAGAAAACUACUGUAGACGCUUGUUCAAAAUGCUUAGACUGUGCUAAACUACUUUGCAAGUCAUGUGUGGAACAGCACAGGAAAACUAAAGUGACUCAAGAUCACAGUCUUUUCGAUGUCCAGGUCGAGAAAGACAUCGAAUGUAAGGUACACCCAGAAGAAUGCGUUCGGUUUUAUUGUGAACCAUGCGAAACGUGUGUCUGUGUGUUAUGCACCUUCCAAGAGCACAAAGACCACGAACUCUCCUCUUUCACUGAAGGAAUCUCCAAAAAUCGGAAGAGCCUUGAAAAUCUGUCGGUCGUCUGUCAAGAUAGGAUCAACAAGGUGAAAUCUCAUUUGGAUUUGAUCAAUAAAUGCGAGUUUAACAUUAAAGAGGUGGAAGAUAAAAUUCGGGACGUUUCGUUAAGUUUGGUGCAAGCAAUACGAAACAAUCAGAAAAACAUGGUUGAAAAUUUACGCAAUAUUUAUGGUCCGACCACUUUGGAAUAUCUUCAACACAAGGAGGGUAUCAAAGACAAUCUCGAAAACCUCCAAAGUACUGUGAAUCUCACGAAUAUCAUCCUUAAGGAAAAGAGCGUCGAAGUGUUACUUUUGAAAAAGAAUCUUGAAGAAAAGGCCAAGGGACUCAUUAAUGCUGAAAUAAUUGAACCCCCUGAUGGCAUCGAAAAACAUGUCAGGUUUAUUCCUGGUUCGGUAGCUCUAGGAUUUAUUGACACUGGUCAGAAUAAGGAUAGUGAAACUGGUGAUGUAGGAAAUGAGAACAAACGGGAACAUUUUAAAAUAUCGAACUUUACCGAAUUGCAGACCCAAACGGAACGAAUUGAAACUUUUGAAAAAGAUACCACAAUGUGUAAACUUUGCAUCGACUACUGCAUUGAUAUGGAUACCCAAACUGACAUCGUUUCUAAGAUUCACAAAGAGACAGAAACUCCAGUUGCCAUGACGAAGGGGAAGUGCACAUCAACAGAACCUCCUAGUGUCAGUCACAAGGGAUGCACAACCGACGAGAAAUCCUUUUCAAAAGCAAAAACUCAAACGGACGUUGUUGAAAUGAUAGAUAAAGAUGUCGCUACAAAUAGGGUUACCAAGAAGGACAUGGAGGUCGGGACUCCGUGUAUAAGAACUAUUAAUAGAGGUACGAUACCAUAUAGGGCUGAAAAUUACAGGGACAAGAAGUCGAUGACCCCAGCGGAAUGGAUGGAACACAAACCAACCCUACGAGAAAUAAAAUCACGCAAUUUACCAGAGGUAACUAUAGAAACAAACGCUGUCCCGAUGGUUGCCAAAGAGACAACAACGACGCAAAUACCAACUACUGAGAUGUCAACGUCGACAUAUGGAGUACAGACUGUAGAAAUGUCUACCACCAUGGAGGGAGAUGAAAUUGUAAAGGUUACGCAAUCUAAACCUAUAAAAUCCAAAAUGGUGGAUGGAUCAACUUUAACGCACGUGCCAACGGAAGAUGCCAUGUCUAAUACAACUACAAUCAAAACAAAAACAACAGGUACAAAGAUGACAAUAUCAUUGAAAGAUACUGGAGUCAAUCCAGACCCUACAAUCAAGUAUGUUGUUGUUCCAGACAAGACUGACACUGGAACCAUGCCUGACCUGUGUAUCAUUGAGAGUCCAACUAAAGCUAGAUCAAAUGUGCCAUUAAUUAAAACAUGUGAAAUGUCCGUAAUGACUGAUCCCAUAACCAUGGUAACAAAAUCCAAAAAUGAUCUAGAGUCAGGUACCUUAUCUAUUAAACCUCCUGUUGCUACAACCAAUGCUUCCACUAUUACUGACUCUGGUCUCACUUAUGCUAACCUUGUCUUGACUGGAAGCAAGAAAAAACCAACCAAGGUUGCUACCGUUGAUAAGGGCUCCAACACGUAUAGAAUCAAAGAACCAGCAAAACAAAUCACUGUUGAUACAUCGACUGAAACUGAUACUCCUAACUACACAACUACUGCGUCUGACGCCAUCAAAGAUGUCAUGAUAAAUAAGAAAUCGAAUACGACCAGAAUAACUUCGGAAACGAAAUCAAUGAACACCAUUAGUCCUCGGUCUUUCACAAAGCAGACAAAUACCACAAAGUCUGUAAUGAAAGAACAAGGUAACAUGACAGAUAGAGGUACAACAGUAGAUGAAUUUACCUCCACUGAAUCACCAUGUACGCAAGAAGUUGGAGUUCAUGUUGUACCAGCAACUAUUGUCACUAAGGACCGAGGAACUGAUUCAAAGCGAGUAUAUAUGGUUGAGCGACGUGUUGGAACUGAACCUUUGGACUCAAAAACAUAUGCUGUUGGCACCUCUACUGAUAUGAUUGACAUGAAAACUAAACAAACGCUUACUACACCUCCUAGUACUCGAGACAGAAGUGUAUGUACGCCUAAAGUUGAAAUGGCGACCAUAGGAACGAAACCAUUUAGGUUCCCGAAACCAGACAAGUAUACCAUGACGACCAACGUACCAACCGUUUCCAAGGGAACAACAACCAUGACUAUGAAAACUAAAAAAUCAACAGACGCGGGGGUGGAUCCGAUACCUUUAGAAACCCACUCUAAGGAAACAGAAACGUACGUGCCAACUAUGGAUGAAGGAACAUCGACUGGUGUCUUACUCAUGACCAACAAAAAUGUAGGGACGGAUACCCAACAAUCAUGUGACGCCAUGGUUGGUACAUCGUAUAUUCUUGCCAUCAAAUGGGCAGAGAGGCUGCGCCAGAAAGCCUUGACGAGUACCAGAGGAACAUGCACACCACAGGUGAAGAAAGCAACACAUGAAACAAAUACUCCGGUGAAAAAAACAUCCAACACUGAGACCACAACUAACACAAACGUGCAUACUUCAGAUACCGGAACAUCUACGCCCCGGGUACCAAAAGUGACAACGAGCCAAACCAAUACCCCGACCAUAGUCCAGACUACGAAAGAGACAACCACCAAUAAGGGGAUGAAUACAAAAAACACCUCCACAAGCAUGGUUCCGGUAAAGCUUCUUAGUAGAAAGACCAACACACCAAGCAGAGAUCAUAUCACUAAGUUCACUACAACCACUGAUCUGGUUAGCCUCCAAACAACGGCAAUAGGGGAUAAUUCAGUCUUCAAUAGUGGGGUAGAUAAAUACGUCGGCACACUUCCUGCUGAUGUAAAAUCACAAAUAACAAGCACUGAUGGAGUAAUCCGGCAGAACAGUCAAGAAACAUGGACUGAGACGGUAAAUGUGGUCAGCCAGGGCUCAAAUACAAGCGUUCCUCAUCAACCCAGUAAAGAGACAACAACAAACAGUAGUAUGCGCACACAUGAACGUGCUAUCGGGUGUGGUAACCAGGCAAAUGAGUUCAAGGUUGACGUGGCAACUGAUGCGGUUACCAUAGCAACAAGUGAUGUAAGUACAAGAACAAUAAAAGCACUAACGGAAAGCAAAUCAGUUGAGACUAUACAGCGUGAAACAAAUGAUCAACACACAAAUACACACCCAGUUGCUAAUAAUUCAAAAGAAACAACAACACAACAUCUUAUAGGACUGCAAACAUUAGGAACAUCUACUGGAGAAUCCAGUCGAGGAUUUUCAACUGAGAACUCUACAAUGACAAACACUAACGUUCAUGUUCAAAGUCUUGGUGUAGAAACAACACAGGGACAAUAUCUGGUGAACAAGCAAACAACAACUGAUCCAAAAACAAUGGUCGACCAGACUACGAGAACUAUCCCAGUAGUUACAGAAUCGAAAUCAACAGACACACAGCAGACUGUUAACGCCCAUCAAGGCACAAAUACCGAAAACCAAACGCCCUAUAAUUUUGUAUCACACACUAGUAUAGAUGAAUCCCACGGUUGUCAUGGUAACAAAAUGGUUGACAAGGAAACAUCUAUGGUAUCUAAGGAGAUGAUUGAACGUUCAACGACUACCCCACAUACAGUGACAACAGAUAUUGAGAUUGUUACUGUUCCCAUCGGUGAACAAGAUGCCGAGACAGCCACAGAUUCCGUCCCAACAUCUGAUAAAGCAAUAUUUGCAGGUGUUCGAAAACAAACAUCGAGCACUAUGACAACGCCGUACGAUUCAAAAGGAACCAAUCAUAAUUUAAAAUAUGAUAACAGCACGAUGACUGAUAUUACCGGAAAGAUAAGUCUAGGAACAAAUCCAGAUUUCAAAUUGAUAUCAAAGAAGGAGGAGUUCUGGGAGCCGAUGACUGUACAACAUGGGAACACACAGGCAGCUUCUUCGUCGUUCAUAAGCCAACUCCCGAAGACAGCUAAGUCCAUUGUAUGGAAGGUAGAUAGAGAGACGAUGACAAGAGCACGCAGAACAGCCACAAGCUCAACCCGGAUGACUCCUCCGCCAAGCACAGAGGAAAGAGGAGUCGGUACUGAAACAGUGCUCGUUGAGGGACGCAUCAAUGAAUGUAUAAGUAAACUCAAGAACGUCACGCAAAGAUUGAAUAAUCCUUCUCCUGUGUCUACUCCAGAACGAAAGGCCAUCCCUAUCACGAGAUCGCAAAGCAGUCAUACUCCAAGUGAUGAUGCGGUGGAGAAGGAUCUGGCAAUAACUCGUUGCAAUAGUGAAAAGGGUACUGCUUCGACACACAACACUGGCGAUAAUCCUCUGGUAGAUGUCCAAACGAAACAAGUGGAAAAUUCCCCUGAUGACGUAGAUGGACGACGCAAAGCUAGACAAAGAAGACCAGAUAUUACUGCUCUCUUGAAUCAAGAUUCCGAUAGCACCGCAACAGAUAGUUCCACGGCAAAAGCAAGUCAAUUUACGGAGGACGGUAUUCCAUUGCCGAGGGCGCUCCCAUCUAGACUGCAUGCGCAACAUGUACAGACGAAAACCUUACAGUCCUUUUCAAUGGACCCCGAUGAAUUGAAAAAGAUGAAGCUGGAAAGGAAACGUGAGAAAAAGAAGAAACGCCAUCAUCAUACUAGCGGGAAGUCACCAAGAGAUAAAUCAAUCUUGAAGGGUGGUCCAACUUCUGGUGAAACCAUCAAUCCAGAAUCUGCAAGUCCAAAAGAUGACAAGAUCGUAUCGCUUGGAAUUAGGAAAACAUCUUCCGAAAUUGAUGAAGAAAUGGAAACAAAGGAAUUUUCUAGUAAAAGUCCUCAACAGCCAUGGAGGCAAAGAGCAGCUCUGCAAAAACAGAAACCUGUCGAAGCACUCGACAAUGUGGGGACCAGUGAGCAGAAAACACCCAUAAAGCAUUUUAUUGAGGUUAAUGAGAGCCCAGUCAUCAAACCAUAUGAUGACAACUAUUUACAAAGAUCUACGGAUAACGCAAGUGCUUUGGAACCCACCUUGAAUGAGAUUCACCCUUGGAGAUCCACAAAGGCAAAACGUAAAGAUAAACGGCUGAGAAACAAGACUAUAGCAAUAGAAACGCCCAGCAGGAUCAGCUCUGAAGAGGACUUGUUCACGGGUAAAUUUCAAAGGGACUCCACAAAUACUAAAAGCACACCCACUGAUGAAUGCAUACCGUCCACUCAAACCAACAAACCCACUAGUGUUGCUCUAUCUGAUAAACAUAAAAAUGUGAAGAGCACGUCAAUAUGUUUCACCCCAGGUCCUGUCAAGGCUGUAUUCUUGUCCGACAGUUCACGUGAGUCUUCCUUUGAUUCACCAUACUCUCCUUUCGCAUCACAAGAUUCAAUUGAGACAAGAUACCCUUUUGGGACAAAGGAUUCUUCUUUUGGAGCGACAUCUUCGUUUGGGACAAAGGAUUCUUCGUUUAAUGCAAAGAGAACUUUGAAUAAAAGUAAAAAUAUGCAAUAAUUUCAUACGAUUUAGUCAAAUUCUAUUCCGAAGCUUCUCGCUUAUACGCCAAUGGUUCGUUUAUUUCGCAUGGGCGUUAACUAAUAUCCCUCGAAAAGAAGCCAUGGGCGCUUGAGCAUUCGUGAAGAACGCUAGUUGGUUUUACAGAGAAAAGGUUCUUUUUAACUUACCCUUAUUCAAACAAACACCCAUCUGGGUCUAUUGACGAGGAACUCCGGAAAGUAUGAAAUAUUGCAGUUUUUAUUUGAUAAAUCGAUUUACAAAUUCAGAGUCCCAACGUUUUCGAAUAACUAUUUGUUGCACAACACAAUGGUCCAUUCUGGAUGAUAGGUGCUAAUUAUGAUAAAUAAAAAGUUUUAAACAUAUAAUAGUACUUAUAAAAAAUAGCAUAAAAUAGUACUUUUAAAGAGUAAAUAGAUAUAUUUUAGAUUUUGUUGAAUACUAGAUAUAGUAGUGGAUUAAUAAAAUAAAGUGAUUAAUAAAAUAUAUUGUUCUGAAAUA
rnacentral:misc_RNA from 1 species